AGUGAACGCUGGCGGUAGGCCUAACACAUGCAAGUCGAACGGCAGCACAGUAAGAGCUUGCUCUUACGGGUGGCGAGUGGCGGACGGGUGAGGAAUACAUCGGAAUCUACUUUUUCGUGGGGGAUAACGUAGGGAAACUUACGCUAAUACCGCAUACGACCUACGGGUGAAAGCAGGGGAUCUUCGGACCUUGCGCGAUUGAAUGAGCCGAUGUCGGAUUAGCUAGUUGGCGGGGUAAAGGCCCACCAAGGCGACGAUCCGUAGCUGGUCUGAGAGGAUGAUCAGCCACACUGGAACUGAGACACGCUCCAGACUCCUACGGGAGGCAGCAGUGGGGAAUAUUGGACAAUGGACGCAAGCCUGAUCCAGCCAUACCGCGUGGGUGAAGAAGGCCUUCGGGUUGUAAAGCCCUUUUGUUGGGAAAGAAAAGCAGCAGGUUAAUACCCCGCUGUUCUGACGGUACCCAAAGAAUAAGCACCGGCUAACUUCGUG
rnacentral:rRNA from 1 species